UACGUAGGGCGCAAGCGUUAUCCGGAAUUAUUGGGCGUAAAGAGCUCGUAGGCGGUGUGUCGCGUCGGCCGUGAAAACCUGUGGCUUAACUAUGGGCUUGCGGUCGAUACGGGCAUCACUGGAGUUCGGCAGGGGAGACUGGAAUUCCUGGUGUAGCGGUGAAAUGCGCAGAUAUCAGGAGGAACACCGGUGGCGAAGGCGGGUCUCUGGGCCGAUACUGACGCUGAGGAGCGAAAGCGUGGGGAGCGAACAGG
rnacentral:rRNA from 1 species